rnacentral:tRNA from 1 species
GGAGAGAUGGCAGAGUGGUUAAUUGCGUCGGUCUUGAAAACCGUUGAGGUUUUUACUUACCUCCGGGGGUUCGAAUCCCUCUCUCUCCG